AACCUGACACCCUUCACUCUGCAGGCCGACACUCUAUCCACUGAGCCAAACCGGUUAGGGCUCUUAAGAAUUUUUGAUGUUCCAUGAAACUCAGGUCGGUGAUAUAUGUUGCAAAUAUUUCCUCCAGCCAAUUACCUUUUAAUUUUGCUUACAGUGUAUUUUGAUAUUUGUGUAGUCACAUUUAUUGCUUUUCCCCCUUAUGGUUUGUGCCUGGGAGGAAACCAUAAGACAAAAUUGGUUUUUCCGUAAUAGGGGCAGUGCCCAUUUCCAAGCAGACCGUUUCGUUCCAGCGUUGUAGGGGUGGGUAGGGCAAGGCUUUUCCUUCACGUCACCACCCCUGCCUCCAUCUGCUGUUAGAUUGCCCAGCCUCAGUUUCAUCGGUCCUGUGUUCCUACAACCUUAGUCGUUUUUCCAGCCUUCUCUUCUGCCUUUGAAAGGGGUGCUUCCAUCUCAGAUGGAAGGAAGAGAGGCCUUGGGGGUACAAAGUUGAAGAACUGCCUUUUAGUUCCUGGAUUUAGAGCUUACCUGAGAUCCAGGAUGAUUUCACCUCAAGAUCCUCAACUCGUUUCAUCUGCAAAGACCCUGUUUGCAAAUGAGGUCACAUUUUGAGGUUUUGGGUAAACAUGAAUUUUUUUUGUGGGGACACUAUUAAACUCACUGCAGUUACUGUGGUGGUCACUACUGUUGUUCUACAUAAUGAAAAUAUGCCUUUAUUUCUGGUUUUAUAUUACUCAUGAAGUUAGGUAAAUCAAAACAUAGCAUCUGGUUUCAUUAUUCAUGAGAUCAUCUGAGGAGCUCUGUGAAGCUUGGAGCCAGUACCUCAUGCUUUACAUUCAAAUGAGGCCAAAUCCUCCUUUCAUAAUGUACACAUAUAUCAGAUCAUGCUGAUGUACAGUUUAAAUAUCUUAAAGUUUUGUCAAUUAUCUAUAUACUAGAGCCUGGUGCACAAAAUUCGUGCACGGGGCGGGGGGU